rnacentral:rRNA from 1 species
UACGGAGGGUGCAAGCGUUAAUCGGAAUUACUGGGCGUAAGGCGUGCGCAGGCGGUUUGUUAGGUCUGCUGUGAAAUCCCCGAGCUCAACUUGGGAAUUGCAGUGGAUACUGGCAAGAUGGAGUACGGUAGAGGAAGGUGGAAUUCCCGGUGUAGCAGUGAAAUGCGUAGAUAUCGUGAGGAACACCAGAGGCGAAGGCGGUUACCUGGACAGUUACUGACGCUCAGGCACGAAAGCGUGGGGAGCAAAAGGG